rnacentral:rRNA from 1 species
UAGCAUAUCAAUAAGCGGAGGAAAAGAAACCAACAGGGAUUGCCCUAGUAACGGCGAGUGAAGCGGCAACAGCUCAAAUUUGAAAUCUGGCCUUCUGGUCCGAAUUGUUUUUUACAGAAGAUGCCUUUGACGCGGUCCCUUUCGAGUUCCUUGGAACGGGACGCCUUAGAGGGUGAGAGCCCCGUAGGAUUGGGCACCAAGUCUCUGUAAUGCUCCUUCGACGAGUCGAGUAGUUUGGGAAUGCUGCUCUAAAUGGGAGGUAAAUUUCUUCUAAAGCUAAAUACCGGCCAGAGACCGAUAGCGCACAAGUAGAGUGAUCGAAAGAUGAAAAGCACUUUGAAAAGAGGGUUAAAUAGCACGUGAAAUUGUUGAAAGGGAAGCGCUUAUGACCAGACUUUUUCUAGGGGGAUCAUCCGGCGUUCUCGCUGGUGCACUUCCCCUGGUUUAGGCCAACAUCGGUUUCUGCGGGAGGAUAAAGGCUUCGGGAAUGUGACUCCUCCGGGAGUGUUAUAGCCCGUUGCAUAAUACCCUCGCGGGGACCGAGGUACGCGCAUUGCAAGGAUGUUGGCAUAAUGGUCAUCAGUGACCCGUCUUGAAACACGGACCAAGGAGUCGAACAUUUGUGCGAGUGUUUGGGUGUCAAACCCUCACGCGUAAUGAAAGUGAACGGAGGUGAGAGCCUUAGGGUGCAUCAUCGACCGAUCCUGAUGUCUUCGGAUGGAUUUGAGUAAGAGCAUAACUGUUCGGACCCGAAAGAUGGUGAACUAUGCGUGGAUAGGGUGAAGCCAGAGGAAACUCUGGUGGAGGCUCGCAGCGGUUCUGACGUGCAAAUCGAUCGUCAAAUCUGCGCAUGGGGGCGAAAGACUAAUCGAACCAUCUAGUAUCUGGUUAC